ACACACACCCAGUUAACCGAGUUCAGGAUCAGACAUCUCUCAAAACAGUCACAAAUAACAUAUAAGCCGAAGCCCAUAUCAGAGUCUUGACUACCCUCACUAAAGCCUAGCUAAAGGUCGUUACACACAGACACAUUUUCAGAUCAAUAACACACAGAACUAAAAUUGGUGACUUAGGACCACAAAGUCGUGUGCUCUGGCCGUGUGGUAAAGCCCAGGCUGUGUGGGGAGUCAAAACACUCGUGUGCGCCAGGGACAUGGCUGUGUGAACAGGCUGUGUAACUCUCUAUCCAUUUGUGCAAAAAUAGAGUGCAAGGCAGACACAACCGUGUGAGGGUCUCAAAUGCCCGUGUACCGACCAAACACGACCGUGUGUCCAUAACACACACCCGUGUAGGAUCCCUAAAUCUCCAAAUUAGCCACACAAUAGUGUGGUCAGGCCGUGUAACACAAAAUCGCUAAAUCCCUAAUUUCUAAAUACACAUUCCCGUAUGCCCUAGGGACACGACCUUGUGAAAAUUGACUACUUUCCCCAAAUCAUCCACACGGUCGUGUGGCACCCAAUUUAGCCUGAAAAUCCUAAAUCUCAAUUGCACACAGCCGUGCAAAUUGACUGUGUGGCGGCACACACCCUGUGGCCACCCCUAUGGUCACGAAACCACACCGAAAUUGACUGAAAUUCUCAUUUUCUGGUCACUAAAGCGACCCCUAAUCAAAGUAUUCCAGGAACCAACCACAACACACUAAAUUACAGGUAAUUAAAAUGACACACAAGCCCUAAUUACUUAAUUACCGAAGCAUGCAAAAAGACUAUCGAAUUCCACAGCAAUUCAA
rnacentral:lncRNA from 1 species